rnacentral:rRNA from 1 species
GCCCUUAGAGUUUGAUCCUGGCUCAGAACGAACGCUGGCGGCGCGUCUUAAACAUGCAAGUCGGACGAGAAGCUCGGUGCUUGCACAUGAGUGGACAGUGGCGAACGGGUGAGUAACACGUGAGUUAUCUACCUUUGAGUCUGGGACAACUUCGGGAAACCGGAGCUAAUACCGGAUACGAGGCAACUUGAAAGGUGGGGAUCUUUUGACCUACCGCUUGGAGAUGAGCUCGCGGCCCAUUAGCUAGUUGGUGGGGUAAUGGCCUACCAAGGCGACGAUGGGUAGCCGGCCUGAGAGGGUGAUCGGCCACAUUGGGACUGAGAUACGGCCCAGACUCCUACGGGAGGCAGCAGUUAAGAAUAUUGGACAAUGGACGCAAGUUUGAUCCAGCGACGCCGCGUGAGCGAUGAAGGCCUUCGGGUCGUAAAGUUCAAUAGACAGGGAAGAAUAAGGUACGGGUAAUAUUCGUGCUGAUGACGGUACCUGUUGAAAGCCUCGGCUAAAUACGUGCCAGCAGCCGCGGUAAUACGUAUGAGGCAAGCGUUGUUCGGAAUUAUUGGGCAUAAAGGGCAUCUAGGCGGGAUAUUAAGUCGGGUGUGAAAGCCCAGGGCUCAACCCUGGAACUGCACUCGAUACUGGUAUUCUUGAGUUAGGAAGAGGAAGGCGGAAUUCCUGGUGUA